rnacentral:rRNA from 1 species
GACGAACGCUGGCGGCGUGCUUAACACAUGCAAGUCGAACGGAAAGGCCCUGCUUUUGUGGGGUGCUCGAGUGGCGAACGGGUGAGUAACACGUGAGUAACCUGCCCUUGACUUUGGGAUAACUUAAGGAAACUGGGGCUAAUACCGGAUAGGAGCUCCUGCUGCAUGGUGGGGGUGGGAAAGUUUCGGCGGUUGGGGAUGGACUGGCGGCUGAUGAGCUUGUUGGUGGGGUAGUGGCUUACCAAGGCUUUGACGGGUAGCCGGCCUGAGAGGGUGAACGGCCACAUUGGGACUGAGAUACGGCCCAGACUCCUACGGGAGGCAGCAGUGGGGAAUAUUGCACAAUGGGCGGAAGCCUGAUGCAGCAACGCCGCGUGCGGGAUGACGGCCUUCGGGUUGUAAACCGCUUUCGCCUGUGACGAAGCGUGAGUGACGGUAAUGGGUAAAGAAGCACCGGCUAACUACGUG